UUCAGAGGGAGGGAGGGCGGGGGAAUUAGAUUACCGCUCAGCAGAUUAUUCUCAUUCCUGUCCUUUAUUUUGGGUCAGAAAAAGACUCAACAUCCUUUUCACUUCCUGUUAACUCAUAGUGAUUUUUGAGUGCAGCUCCUUAAACUUCCUGUCACUGAAACUUCUCGUCCUCCAAGUUUUUUUCCCUCUUUUCUUUUAAGAUUCCUGAAUCUGUGUGAACUGAACACAUCAGAGCAGGAUCUUGAAAUAACACCUUCAUGGUCUCCUCCUUCCCCAGGUUGUCGGCCUCCUCCCCUCCCUGAAGCUCCUCCUGCGUGCCGAUGAAAGCUGAAAGAGUUAAGAAGAUUUGGCAGCCACCGCGAUGGCGAGCAGCCAGCCGGUGAGGGAGGAACCGGUUUCCGGUGGCCAGAGCGAGGCAGGCGGCUCACUUGCCCUGGGAUUAAAUGGGAUCGGCAGAGAUUACAGCCCUCUCUCUCUCUCUCUCUCUCUCUCUCUCUCUCUCUCUCUCUCUCUCUCUCUCUCUCUCUCUCUCUCUCUCUCUCUCUCUCUCUCUCUCUCUCUCUCUCAUGCAGCUCGAUGAGUCCAGCCUCAGGGGCCUGAUUUCAUAUCACACAUACGUCCUCCGGAGCUGUCUUUGGUGCUGAAACCUGCAGGAGGUGGAGGAUUAUUCCUGCAGCAUCCCUGAGGAGACGGAUCGACAGGUAAGACGAGCUUUUUCAGACCAGGACAGGGUCGUCUUCACCCUCGUCUUAGACUGCUGAGACCUCCUGAGGAGCGUGAACCACUUUCUUGGAACGGCUCUGUGUGUAUCUGUCUAAUAUGAGGAUCCGGUGAACCUGCUCCAGCUCACUCCUCUCCUUCCUCACCUCUCAGAGUCUAAAGACCGGCUAAAUUUGGGGUAAAACGCUGUAAAAGAACGGGUCUGUGCUGCUGUAUGAGUCCGGGUCACCAGGGCAGAGAUUACAGCGGGUACAUCUCAGUAUUUACAUCUCCGUCACACGUACGACGAGCUGUCGUAAAGUGUGCCAUUAACCCCUGACCCCCUUUCACACUAACCCUGAUGGAGUUCCCUACCUGAUCCUGGGUCACACUCACGGCUGGAUUACUGAUGAGGCAACUCUUAGUCCAGGAGGGACACACGAGUCCUGGAGGAGCAGAGUCCGGUCAGCUGAACUCCUGAAAGUUUGUUAUGAAGAGUUUUGAGGAUUUAACUUUUCAAACUGUUCUGAGUUUAGUUUCAUAAACUUGUCCCAACACACAUAUUUAUAGAUAUAUAAUGUAUUAUAUGCAGAUGACACAUUUUUUUUGUUCAGGAGAGAAUUUG